AUUGAACGCUGGCGGCAGGCCUAACACAUGCAAGUCGAGCGAGCGGCGGACGGGUGAGUAAUGUCUGGGAAACUGCCUGAUGGAGGGGGAUAACUACUGGAAACGGUAGCUAAUACCGCAUACCAUCAGAUGUGCCCAGAUGGGAUUAGCGAGUAGGUGGGGUAACGGCUCACCUAGGCGACGAUCCCUAGCUGGUCGGAGAGGAUGACCAGCCACACGGGAACUGAGACACGGUCCAGACUCCUACGGGAGGCAGCAGUGGGGAAUAUUGCACAAUGGCCGCAAGCCUGAUGCAGCCAUGCCGCGUGUGGGAAGAGGGCCUUCGGGUUGUGAAGCACUUUCAGCGGGGAGGCGGUACCCGCAGAAGAAGCACCGGCUAACUCCGUGCCAGCAGCCGCGGUAAUUC
rnacentral:rRNA from 1 species